AGCGUUCGUGGGGCCCCCACACCAGUUCCUCGGUGCCUCCGCCCGUGAUGUGAUUAGCCGAGACCUGUGCCUUUAAGGAGUGCCCCCUUCCUCGGCCCUUCCCCCUCCAAUUACAGCACUAAUUUCAGUAAUGGAGCAUUAAUAGAGUAAUGGGCGAGUGAGGCUGGCCUGAAGGAACUGUGGAGCUCAGCACAAAUUGAGUAAAUAAACCAUGUAUUAGAUUUCUAAACAAUACUUUUAGUCUGGUCUCCAGGGAAAGAGAGUCUUCAAGACUUAUUUAAGUCAUCCCUGCAAAGUGUAUGUAAAAGAAGCCUCCUUUCAGAGCUUGGUUGUUUGUAGAAGCAGGAAAUCUCUCUCUCUCAUCCCGGGGAUGGGAGA
rnacentral:lncRNA from 1 species